rnacentral:rRNA from 1 species
UACGUAGGGUGCAAGCGUUGUCCGGAAUUAUUGGGCGUAAAGAGCUCGUAGGCGGUUUGUCGCGUCUGCUGUGAAAACUGGAGGCUCAACCUCCAGCCUGCAGUGGGUACGGGCAGACUAGAGUGCGGUAGGGGAGAUUGGAAUUCCUGGUGUAGCGGUGGAAUGCGCAGAUAUCAGGAGGAACACCGAUGGCGAAGGCAGAGUCUCGGGCCGUAACUGACGCUGAGGAGCGAAAGCAUGGGGAGCGAACAGG